GUAGAACUCUCUCUCUCUCUCCUCUAUUUCUCUCUGUAUGUGGUCCUAUUUGUCUCCUAUUCUAUUCUUCUUUCAAUAGUAAAAAUGGAAAAUAUUGUGACUUUACUUCAUCUGCUACCUAUCAUCCCUUCCAUUUUAAUACCACACGCAGUCACACAGUUAAUGUCCUCUCUCUCCUCUCUCUCUCAGUAAAUCAAAACCAAGUACUACAUAUACCCUGUGAGGACUUUGAUUCUGUGUGUAAUAUAUGUGUGUGUAUGUAUAUAUAUAUAUUUUUAUAAAUUCACUUCACCCAUUUCUUGUGACGGCCGACAACUCUGAACAUCGUACCCAACGGGUCUAACCCCACAAAAUUACCACCUCUGUUGUGUAGUGUAAACUCAUAACAGACUCUGCUUCUUGCUCUUUCUUUGAUUGAUUGCUCACUUAUAUACAAACAAAACACCUGGUUUUGCAGCAAAGAAACGGAAGAGAGAACUACAACUGAGAGAGGAAAGAUCAAUCACAAAUGUGAAAAUAUAUAUAGAGAGAGAGAUUUAGAGAGAGUAGUGAAAGAUUCUGCAAAAAAAAUUGGAUUUUUUUGAUAUGGUGGGAUGCGUUCACAUUACAAUUGCAAGAUGAAGAGACAGUGAAGGGUUUAAAUCUCUUUAAUCAUCAGAACAAGUGAUGGGUUCGAUUUGCUAUUAUUUGAUUAUCUUCAAUCAGAUUAUUGGGUAUCUCUGUUUCUUGAUUCUGGUUUCAAAUGCCAGAAAAUUAGCUUCACACAGCGAUGUGGCGGCUCUGAUGGCUUUCAAGAAAUCCUCCAUUGAUGAAGACCCUAAUGGGUUUUUGAAUGAUUGGAGUCCCAAUUCUUCGAGCCCCUGUUCGUGGAGAGGUGUUUCUUGCUCCGUCGACGGCAGAGUCACCGCCCUCAAUCUCACCGGCGCCGCCAUCACCGGCCGUUUACAGCUCUCUGACCUCAUGGCCUUGUCCGGUCUGACCCACCUCCAUUUCAGUGGCAAUUCCUUCUCAGGAGACCUAUCUUCUUCUACUUCCAAGUAUUGCCCAUUUGAGACCCUUGAUUUGUCUUCCAACAACUUCUCUGAUUCUCUCUCUGCAGAGUCCCUAUUUCUCUCCUGUGAUCGUCUCAUCUCUCUCAACCUCUCUCGCAAUUCGAUCCCCGGUGGGAAUCUAAAAUUUGGGUCCUCUCUGUUGCAGCUUGAUCUCUCUCGAAAUCGGAUUUCGGAUUGGUCUCUUUUGGAAAAUUCUCUCUCUAACUGCCAGAGCUUGACUCUGCUGAAUUUCUCCGAUAAUAAGCUGGCCGGAGAACUGGGUAGUACUGUCUUGUCUUGCCGGAGUCUAUGGACUCUUGACCUCUCUUGCAAUCGCAUCUCCGGUGAGAAUCCGGUGGCGGCUUUUGUGGCCAACUAUCCGACUUCUCUCAACUUUCUCGAUCUCUCACACAAUAACUUUACUGGGAACUUCUCUAGUAUGCAGUUUGGGAGCUGCCAAAACCUCACAGCACUCAAUCUCUCGCAUAACGGCCUAUCUGGUGUAGGGUUUCCGGCGAGCCUGACUAAUUGCCAGCUGCUUGAGAGUCUUGACAUUGGCCACAAUGUGGUUAGUCUGAAGAUUCCAGGGGUGUUGUUAGGGAAGCUCAAGAGCUUGAGGUAUUUGUAUUUAGACCACAAUAAGUUUUUUGGGGACAUUCCACCAGAGCUAGGACAAACUUGUGGUACUCUUGAAGUGCUUGAUCUUUCCGGAAACCGGCUUAGCGGGGGGCUUCCUUCGACGUUUGCAUCGUGCUCUUUGCUGAACAGCCUCAACCUCGGUGGCAAUCAGCUGUCGGGCGAUUUUCUGAGCACCAUUGUCAGCUCUCUUCCAAGUCUGAGGUAUCUCUAUGUGCCUUUCAAUAACAUAACUGGUCCUGUGCCAUUGUCAUUGACAAACAACACCGAGCUUCGAGUGUUGGACCUCAGUUCUAAUGCCUUUACAGGGAAUGUACCUUAUGGUUUCUGCUCCUCGAGGACAUCAUCCUCAGCUUUGGAAAAGCUAUUAUUGUCGAACAAUUAUCUCAAGGGUACAUUGCCUUCAGAGCUUGGAAACUGCAGGAACCUUAGAACAAUUGAUCUUAGUUUCAACAAUCUUGUUGGUUCGAUUCCCUCGGAAAUUUGGACCUUGCCAAAUCUUUCAGAUUUGAUAAUGUGGGCUAAUAACCUCACGGGGGGAAUCCCGGAAGGCAUUUGUGUCAAAGGAGGAAAUCUGCAGACCCUGAUUCUCAAUAACAAUCUUAUUAAUGGAACUAUUCCACUGUCCAUCACCAAUUGUACUAAUAUGAUUUGGGUAUCGCUCUCCAGCAACCGUCUCACUGGAGAAAUCCCUUCAGGUAUUGGGAAUCUCCUUAACCUGGCUGUCCUCCAAUUGGGUAACAACUCACUUACUGGAGCUAUCCCUCUGGAGCUUGGUAAGUGCCGGAGCCUUAUUUGGCUCGACUUGAAUAGCAACAACCUGACUGGUGCAAUACCACCAGAGCUUGCCAAUGAAACUGGCCUAGUUGUUCCUGGACUUGUUUCUGGGAAGCAGUUUGCAUUUGUGAGAAAUGAGGGUGGAACAGCUUGCAGAGGUGCUGGAGGACUAGUUGAAUUUGAGGGAAUUCGAUCAGAAAGGCUAGAAAACUUUCCUAUGAUUCAUUCUUGCCCUUCAACUCGAAUAUACUCUGGUGUGACGGUUUAUACAUUCACAAGCAACGGCACCAUGAUUUACCUUGACCUCUCCUACAAUUCCUUGUCAGGAACUAUUCCUGAAAACUUUGGUUCAAUGAGCUUUUUGAAUGUCUUGAAUUUGGGACACAACAAUUUAACUGGAAACAUUCCAUACAGCUUUGGAGGCUUGAAGAAUGUUGGAGUUUUGGAUCUCUCUCACAAUAAUCUUCAGGGAAUCAUCCCUGGAUCAUUAGUGGGUCUCUCAUUUCUCAGUGACCUUGAUGUAUCAAACAACAACUUAACAGGACCUAUCCCUUCAGGCGGUCAGCUGACUACUUUCCCGGCUUCUAGAUAUGAGAACAAUACAGGCCUUUGUGGGGUUCCAUUGCCUCCUUGUGGCUCUGGAAAGGGACAUCCACCGGGCUUUUACCAGAGGAAGAAGAAGUCUUUGGCAUCAGAGAUGGUCAUUGGAAUUGCUGUCUCUCUUUUCUGUAUCUUCGUGCUAACAUUGGCUCUUUACAGGAUUAUACUGAACCAGGAAAAAGAGGAAAAGAGAGACAAAUACAUUGAAAGCCUUCCAACUUCUGGUAGCAGCAGCUGGAAACUCUCUGGUGUUCCUGAGCCUCUGAGCAUUAAUGUCGCUACAUUUGAGAAACCUCUACGGAAGCUGACCUUUUCCCAUCUACUUGAAGCUACCAAUGGUUUUAGUGCUGACAGCUUGAUUGGGUCUGGAGGGUUUGGUGAGGUAUACAAGGCGCAAUUGAAAGAUGGUUGUGUUGUUGCGAUCAAGAAGCUUAUUCAUGUCACUGGACAAGGAGACAGAGAAUUUGUAGCAGAAAUAGAAACCAUUGGGAAGAUCAAACACAGAAACCUAGUUCCGUUGUUGGGAUACUGCAAGAUUGGAGAGGAGAGACUUCUCGUGUAUGAGUACAUGAAGUGGGGAAGUCUGGAAGAUGUUCUUCAUGACAGGGCCAAAGGACGGGACUCAGAGCUUGACUGGGCAGCAAGAAAGAAGAUUGCCAUUGGGUCAGCGAGAGGACUAGCAUUCCUUCAUCAUAGCUGCUUACCUCACAUUAUUCAUCGGGACUUCAAGUCCAGCAAUGUUCUUAUAGAUGAGAAUUUCGAAGCCAGAGUCUCUGAUUUUGGCAUGGCAAGAUUGGUGAAUGCCCUUGACACUCAUCUUAGUGUGAGCACCCUCGCUGGGACCCCGGGAUAUGUUCCACCAGAGUAUUACCAAAGUUUUAGGUGCACAACUAAAGGGGAUGUUUACAGCUAUGGCGUUGUAUUACUGGAGCUUCUCUCAGGAAAAAGGCCAAUAGAUCCUUUGGUGUUUGGCGACGACAACAAUCUUGUUGGGUGGGCAAAACAGCUUCUAAAAGAAAAGAGAAGCCUUGAAAUACUGGAUUCUGAAUUAUUAACACAUCAUUCCACUGAGGCUGAACUAUAUCAAUGUCUAAACAUUGCCUUUCAAUGCCUAGAUGACAAGCCUUUCCGGAGACCAACAAUGAUUCAGGUGAUGGCCAUGUUUAAAGAGCUUCACGUAGAUUCAGAAAGUGAUAGCCUUGAUGGCUUCUCGGCAAAAGAUAUAGUAAUAGAGGAAUCACAAGAAAAAGAAUCAAGUUGAUAUACAUCUGAGCCUAAUUGGACAUGGAAGAUUCUGAUCUUGUCAGCUUGCACGUGACCAGGCCAUGAUUGCACGGAUGUGCCUACAGUGAGAAGAACUUCUUAUAUUGCAGUAGGGUUUGGUCUUCAAAUUUUUCUUACUGUAAAUAAUAGAGCACUGAAGGAGACAGAAGUUAUGGGAAAGAGUGAGGAAAACAAGCAAAUGGGGUGUUCUCAAUUGCUUUUGUUGGGGUGAACUCGGAAAAUGAUGAGUAACUAUUCCUAUACUAUCUACCAGGUUAGCCAAAGACAUGCUGCCCAAUUUGACUCUCUAUUGCACAAAACAAAAUUUAGAUUCUGAUUGCUUAUCAACCAAAAAAGGGCAAAAUUCUCUUGAUGUUGUUUAAUCCCAGUUUGUGAGUGUGGUUCUAUUCCUCUUUUGUUUGUUGGGAUGUCUAUCAUCUCAAGAUGUGAGAGGCUUCUUUUGGCGUGUUUGUUAGCCAAUCCUCUCGGGCUGUGAAAGGAAGUAGGUCUGUGCGUGCAUCCUUCGCCUUUUAAGUGAGAUAUUUGGUUGAUAUUUUUGAGCUCUGUCGUACAUCCUUUUUUUUUCUUCAGUUUGUAAAACUUAAAUCUACCAUGGAUAUGUUACAUUGUACAGAAUGGUUAUAAAUUUCAUGACUCCUUCCACGCACUUCAAUUUGUCUGCCCGCCCCAUCUUCAUUAUAAAAAUGCACAUGAUUUGAGAAAGUGCAAAUGUUACCCCCUUCUUUGGUUUCUUCUUUCAAACCUGCUAAAUUAUGUAGUAAUUUGUUAAACAUGACUGCAUGUUGAUCCUAAAAUUAAGAGAUCCCUCU